UCAAGUUAUUAAGGGUGCAGGGCGGAUGCCUUGGCACUAGGAGCCGAUGAAGGACGUGAUAAGCUGCGAUAAGCUUCGGGGAGUUGCACGUAAACUUUGAUCCGAAGAUUUCCGAAUGAGGAAACUCACUUAGAGUAAUGUCUAAGUAUCAUUAAGUGAAUACAUAGCUUAAUGAGGGGAACUCAGGGAACUGAAACAUCUAAGUACCUGAAGGAAGAGAAAGAAAUUCGAUUCCGUAAGUAGCGGCGAGCGAACGCGGAUUAGCCCAAACCAAUAAAGUUUUCUUUAUUGGGGUUGCGGACAUAUCAUAACGAAGAGGUAUCGUAAUUGAAGAGGUUUGGAAAGACCCACCACAGAAGGUAAUAGUCCUGUAUGUUAAACGAGAAGACUUCAGAUAUGAUCCAGAGUACCACGGGACACGUGAAACCCUGUGGGAAGCAGGAGGGACCACCCUCCAAGGCUAAAUACUACCUAGUGACCGAUAGCGUAUAGUACCGUGAGGGAAAGGUGAAAAGAACCCCGGGAGGGGAGUGAAAUAGAACCUGAAACCCUGCACUUACAAGCUGUGGAAGCACAUUUCUUGUGUGACCGCGUACUUUUUGUAGAACGGGCCAACGAGUUACGUUAAGUAGCAAGGUUAAGCACUUAAGGUGCGGAGCCGUAGCGAAAGCGAGUUUUAACUGAGCGUUCAGUUACUUGACGUAGACCCGAAACCGGGCGACCUACCCAUGAGCAGGAUGAAGCGAAAGUAAAAUUUCGUGGAGGUCCGAACCCACGAGCGUUGAAAAGCUCGGGGAUGACUUGUGGGUAGCGGUGAAAUUCCAAUCGAGCCCGGAGAUAGCUGGUUCUCCCCGAAAUAGCUUUAGGGCUAGCCUCAAGGUGAGAGAUACGGAGGUAGAGCACUGAAUGUCCUAGGGGGUAUUGCACCUACCGAAGACUAUCAAACUCCGAAUGCCGUCAUCUUAUACUUGGGAGUCAGACUGUGGGUGAUAAGAUUCAUAGUCGAAAGGGCAACAGCCCAGAUCGUCAGCUAAGGUCCCUAAAUGUAAGUUAAGUGGUAAAGGAUGUGGGAUUGCACAGACAACCAGGAUGUUGGCUUAGAAGCAGCCACUCAUUCAAAGAGUGCGUAAUAGCUCACUGGUCGAGUGAUCCUGCGCCGAAGAUUUCCGGGGCUAAAACUUACUACCGAAGCUACGGCAUCAGUAAUGAUGGGUAGGGGAGCUUCCCAUACGGGUUGAAGCAUGACCGUAAGGACAUGUGGACAGUAUGGGAGUGAGAAUGUUGGCAUGAGUAGCGAGAUGUGGGUGAGAAUCCCACAGGCCGUAAACCCAAGGUUUCCAGGGGAAGGUUCGUCCGCCCUGGGUUAGUCGGGACCUAAGCUGAGGCCGAAAGGCGUAGGUGAUGGACAACAGGUUGAUAUUCCUGUACUACCGAUAACCGUUUGAGAGAAGGGAUGACACAGUAGGAUAAGCUAAGCACACUGUUGGUUAUGUGUGCCCAAGCAUUGAGGCAGUCAAAGUAGGCAAAUCCGCUUUGAUAAUGCUGGGAUGUAAUGGGGAGCGAAAUUUAGUAGCGAAGUAGCUGAUUUCACACUGUCAAGAAAAGUCUCUAUCGAGGUUAAAGGUACCCGUACCGCAAACCGACACAGGUGGGUGAGGAGAGUAUCCUAAGGCCAGCGAGAGAACUGUUGUUAAGGAACUCGGCAAAAUGACCCCGUAACUUAGGGAUAAGGGGUGCCACCAUCAGGUGGCCGCAGAGAAUAGGCCCAAGCGACUGUUUACCAAAAACAUAGGUUUCUGCUAAGUCGCAAGACGAUGUAUAGGAGCUGACGCCUGCCCGGUGCUGGAAGGUUAAGGGGAUCUGUUAGAGCAAUCGAAGCAGUGAACUUAAGCCCCAGUAAACGGCGGCCGUAACUAUAACGGUCCUAAGGUAGCGAAAUUCCUUGUCGGGUAAGUUCCGACCCGCACGAAAGGCGUAACGAUUUGGGCACUGUCUCAACAACAGACUCGGUGAAAUUGUAAUUCCGGUGAAGAUGCCGGAUACCUGCGACAGGACGGAAAGACCCCAUGGAGCUUUACUGUAGCUUGACAUUGGGUCUUGGUACUACAUGUACAGGAUAGGUGGGAGGCUUUGAAACCAGGACGCCAGUUUUGGCGGAGCCAUCCUUGGGAUACCACCCUUGUAGUACUGGGACUCUAACCAUAGGCCAUGAAUCUGGUCUUGGGACACUGUCAGGUGGGCAGUUUGACUGGGGCGGUCGCCUCCCAAAAGGUAACGGAGGCGCUCAAAGGUUCUCUCAGUACGGUCGGAAAUCGUACGUAGAGUGUAAAGGCAAAAGAGAGCUUGAUUGCAAGACAUACAGGUCGAGCAAGGAUGAAAAUCGGACUUAGUGAUCCGGUGGUUCUGCGUGGAAGGGCCAUCGCUCAACGGAUAAAAGCUACCCUGGGGAUAACAGGCUUAUCUCCCCCAAGAGUCCACAUCGACGGGGAGGUUUGGCACCUCGAUGUCGGCUCAUCACAUCCUGGGGCUGUAGUAGGUCCCAAGGGUUGGGCUGUUCGCCCAUUAAAGUGGUACGCGAGCUGGGUUCAGAACGUCGUGAGACAGUUCGGUCCCUAUCCGUCGCAGGCGUAGGAAAUUUGAGAAGACCUGUCCUUAGUACGAGAGGACCGGGAUGGACGUACCUCUGGUGUACCAGUUGUUCUGCCAAGGGCAUGGCUGGGUAGCUAUGUACGGAAUGGAUAAGCGCUGAAAGCAUCUAAGCGCGAAGCCAACUUCAAGAUAAGAUUUCCCACCGCAAGGGUAAGACCCCAGAAAGACUAUCUGGUUGAUAGGUCGAAGGUGUAAGUGCAGCAAUGUAUUUAGCUUAUCGAUACUAAUAGGUCGAGGACUUGACCAA
rnacentral:rRNA from 1 species